GACGAACGCUGGCGGCGUGCUUAACACAUGCAAGUCGAACGGAAAGGCCCUGCUUUUGUGGGGUGCUCGAGUGGCGAACGGGUGAGUAACACGUGAGUAACCUGCCCUUGACUUUGGGAUAACUUCAGGAAACUGGGGCUAAUACCGGAUAGGAGCUCCUGCUGCAUGGUGGGGGUUGGAAAGUUUCGGCGGUUGGGGAUGGACUCGCGGCUUAUCAGCUUGUUGGUGGGGUAGUGGCUUACCAAGGCUUUGACGGGUAGCCGGCCUGAGAGGGUGACCGGCCCCAUUGGGACUGAGAUACGGCCCAGCCUCCUACGGGAGGCAGCAGUGGGGAAUAUUGCACAAUGGGCGGAAGCCUGAUGCAGCAACGCCGCGUGCGGGAUGACGGCCUUCGGGUUGUAACCCGCUUUCGCCUGUGACGAAGCGUGAGUGACGGUAAUGGGUAAAGAAGCACCGGCUAACUACGUG
rnacentral:rRNA from 1 species